AGAGUUUGAUCAUGGCUCAGAUUGAACGCUGGCGGCAGGCCUAACACAUGCAAGUCGAGCGGUAGCACAGAGAGCUUGCUCUCGGGUGACGAGCGGCGGACGGGUGAGUAAUGUCUGGGAAACUGCCUGAUGGAGGGGGAUAACUACUGGAAACGGUAGCUAAUACCGCAUAAUGUCGCAAGACCAAAGUGGGGGACCUUCGGGCCUCAUGCCAUCAGAUGUGCCCAGAUGGGAUUAGCUAGUAGGUGGGGUAACGGCUCACCUAGGCGACGAUCCCUAGCUGGUCUGAGAGGAUGACCAGCCACACUGGAACUGAGACACGGUCCAGACUCCUACGGGAGGCAGCAGUGGGGAAUAUUGCACAAUGGGCGCAAGCCUGAUGCAGCCAUGCCGCGUGUGUGAAGAAGGCCUUCGGGUUGUAAAGCACUUUCAGCGGGGAGGAAGGCGGUGAGGUUAAUAACCUCAUCGAUUGACGUUACCCGCAGAAGAAGCACCGGCUAACUCCGUGCCAGCAGCCGCGGUAAUACGGAGGGUGCAAGCGUUAAUCGGAAUUACUGGGCGUAAAGCGCACGCAGGCGGUCUGUCAAGUCGGAUGUGAAAUCCCCGGGCUCAACCUGGGAACUGCAUUCGAAACUGGCAGGCUAGAGUCUUGUAGAGGGGGGGAGAAUUCCAGGUGUAGCGGUGAAAUGCGUAGAGAUCUGGAGGAAUACCGGUGGCGAAGGCGGCCCCCUGGACAAAGACUGACGCUCAGGUGCGAAAGCGUGGGGAGCAAACAGGAUUAGAUACCCUGGUAGUCCACGCCGUAAACGAUGUCGAUUUGGAGGUUGUGCCCUUGAGGCGUGGCUUCCGGAGCUAACGCGUUAAAUCGACCGCCUGGGGAGUACGGCCGCAAGGUUAAAACUCAAAUGAAUUGACGGGGGCCCGCACAAGCGGUGGAGCAUGUGGUUUAAUUCGAUGCAACGCGAAGAACCUUACCUGGUCUUGACAUCCACAGAACUUUCCAGAGAUGGAUUGGUGCCUUCGGGAACUGUGAGACAGGUGCUGCAUGGCUGUCGUCAGCUCGUGUUGUGAAAUGUUGGGUUAAGUCCCGCAACGAGCGCAACCCUUAUCCUUUGUUGCCAGCGGUCCGGCCGGGAACUCAAAGGAGACUGCCAGUGAUAAACUGGAGGAAGGUGGGGAUGACGUCAAGUCAUCAUGGCCCUUACGACCAGGGCUACACACGUGCUACAAUGGCAUAUACAAAGAGAAGCGACCUCGCGAGAGCAAGCGGACCUCAUAAAGUAUGUCGUAGUCCGGAUUGGAGUCUGCAACUCGACUCCAUGAAGUCGGAAUCGCUAGUAAUCGUAGAUCAGAAUGCUACGGUGAAUACGUUCCCGGGCCUUGUACACACCGCCCGUCACACCAUGGGAGUGGGUUGCAAAAGAAGUAGGUAGCUUAACCUUCGGGAGGGCGCUUACCACUUUGUGAUUCAUGACUGGGGUGAAGUCGUAACAAGGUAACCGUAGGGGAACCUGCGGUUGGAUCACCU
rnacentral:rRNA from 1 species